CAGAAAUAGAAGAACAAGCAGUCACAUUGAUUUUCAAUUUCAUGGCAGAGAAAAUAGUUUGAGGGGUCUCAAAGUCUUUCCUUUGGAGUAUCUAAAAUCCUAAGUGUACAGGACUCGGGAGGACAAGGGUGUGCAGUCCAGCUCUCAGGCUUCCUGCGACUGCCACGGGCGGGUGUCUAUCCAUGAGCCUCUCGUUUCAUCUUCGCAACAGCCCUGCCAGUUUACAGAUGCUGAAAGUAGAUGUACAGAGAAGGGACUUGCCAAAGGCCAGACACUUAAUUCAUCGGAUCUAGAACUUCACUGAUGGGGCUAGACUCCAGAUUUGUUGGAAAAAUAAGAAGUCUUUUGGUUGACGCAACAGACCAGGAUGAAGUUCAGAAGAUCAAGAGCGCCUGGACUCCCCCAGGCUCUGCCCUGCCCUGAGUCUGUGGUUGCAGGAGGCACUGGGGUCUGCAUCUCACCAGCCCCUCUCCUUGGGUAGGGCAAGUCCCACCUCCCUGG